CACACACACAUGCAAAUGCACAGAGUAUGUUAAAUAAAUAAAUCAUAUUCAGUGCUCUCCUAAAGUAUUCAAAUCCAUUAAACUCCACAUUUUGUCCCAUUAUGUCAACAAACUUCUCUGUAGUUUCACUGGAUUUUAUGUGAUAGAUCAAUACACCUUACAAUGAAACCAUGCUUUUGUCUUAGAUAUUUUAAAAAAAUGAAGCCUUCCUGAGCAAAUAUUUAGUAGACACACUUUUCACUUUAUUUACAGCUUUAAGUCUUUGGCUGGUAUGCCUCUAUCAGCUUUGCACGUCUAAAGACUGAAAUGUUAGCCCUUUUUUUUUUUUUUUUUUUUGAAGCUCAGUCAAUAGCUAGCUUUCACGUGACGUCACAUAGCUAUGCCGCGAGAGCGCGGAAUGCAGAUGGAGGGCAGGAAGUGAAGUAGCCGAGGAUUUGCCAUCUGUAAACACGCCCAUGUUUUGUGCCGUUUACGGCUGCUCCAAUCGCUCCAGCAGAAAAAAGGAAAAGCAUUAUUAUCGAGUGCCAAAGGUUGUCAUUCAUAAAGGUGAAAGAUGUAAAAAACUAACCGAAAAACGACUUAAAAAGUGGAUUACAAAUCUACAUCUGCGGUCGGGAGGAGCAAAGUCUGCUAAUGCGAGUGUCUGUAGCGACCACUUCGUCAGCGACUGUGCUGGAGCUCUCAGGUGUGCUGGGUGACAUGUGCGACUUGUUCCACUGAUUACUAUGAGGAGUACAUAAGCAGGAGGCUGCCAGCACUUCAAUAUUUUGAGAACCUAAGCUUGUAACGGAGUUUCUGGACUUCGUUUCUGGAAGUUAUUCUGGAUGAUCAAGCCUAUCUUCGUUCAGAGGAUUCCUAUCCUGUGAUCUACCUUCGUUUGGAUUUGCAUCAAGAUGGCAGCUUCCUGUCCUCUCCGUCUCCCGAGCCAAGCCACAAGCGUACCCUGUCCACCCUCCAACAUAAACCACCGCACAUUGAACUUGUUUCUUUGUUCCGUGCUCACACAGAACAGCACCAAGUGAAUUCUACGGAUAUCCCUGCUUAAGACCUGGAUCCUGAGUCUCAUUCCCCCUGGCAACCUGACCACCAUAACCCAUGAGAUUUUUGUCUGUUUCUUUCCUGAUUACAUCACCAAUAAAACAGUCUUUAUUUUG